rnacentral:rRNA from 1 species
ACCGUCGUUUGCAAAGGCGACGGCUUGACGGUACCCUCAGAGAAAGCCCCGGCUACUACGUGCCAGCAGCGCGGUAAUACGUAGGGGGCAAACGUGUCCGGAUUUACUGGGUGUAAAGGGCGCGCAGGCGGGUCGGUCAGUCAGAGGUGAAAGCCCACAGCUUAACUGUGGAACUGCCUUUGAUACUGCCGAUCUUGAGUGCGGGAGAGAGAAGCGGAAUUCCAGGUGUAGUGGUGAAAUACGUAGAUAUCUGGAAGAACACCGGUUGCGAAGGCGGCUUCUUGGACCGACACUGACGCUGAGGCGCGAAAGCGUGGGGAGCGAACAGGAUUAGAUACCCUGGUAGUCCACGCUGUAAACGAUGAAUGUUAGAUGUCGGGGGAUUUUUCCUUCGGCGUCAAAGUUAACGCAUUAAACAUUCCACCUGGGAAGUACGAUCGCAAGGUUGAAACUCAAAGGAAUUGACGGGGGCCCGCACAAGCAGUGGAGCAUGUGGUUUAAUUCGAUGCAACGCGAAGAACCUUACCUAGGCUUGAAAUGUGUUCGAUCGGUCGUGAAAGCGACCUUCCUUCGGGCGGACACACAGGUGCUGCAUGGCUGUCGUCAGCUCGUGCCGCGAGGUGUUGGGUUAAGUCCCGCAACGAGCGCAACCCCUACCAUUAGUUGCCACCGGGUAAUGCCGAGCACUCUAAUGGAACUGCCUACGCAAGUAGUGAGGAAGGUGGGGACGACGUCAAGUCCGCAUGGCCCUUACGCCUAGGGCUACACACGUGCUACAAUGGGCGCAACAAUGGGCAGCGAUACCGCGAGGUGGAGCGAAUCCCUAAAAAGCGUCCUCAGUUCGGAUUGGAGUCUGCAACUCGACUUCAUGAAGUUGGAAUUGCUAGUAAUCGCGUAUCAGCAUGACGCGGUGAUACGUUCCCGGGCCUUGUACGCACCGCCCGUCAAGCCAUGGAGCCGGGGGUACCCAAAG